rnacentral:rRNA from 1 species
UACGAAGGGUGCAAGCGUUAAUCGGAAUUACUGGGCGUAAAGCGCGCGUAGGUGGUUCAGCAAGUUGGAUGUGAAAGCCCUGGGCUCAACCUGGGAACUGCAUCCAAAACUACUGAGCUAGAGUACGGUAGAGGGUAGUGGAAUUUCCUGUGUAGCGGUGAAAUGCGUAGAUAUGCGGAGGAACACCAGUGGCGAAGGCGGCCAUCUGGACCGAUCCUGACGCUGAAGCGCGAAAGCUAGGGUAGCGAACGGG